GAUGAAUCCAGUAGCGGGAAUGCUGGGGGAAAUGAAUGGUGGAAAAUAGUUAAUCGGAAAAGGAAGAAAACCGGUAGUCAAGGAUCAUUUACGGAUAGUGGAAAGGAGGAAGAAUUUGGUAGGUGGCGGUAAUGCACCAUAAGCUGGUUUGCCAACCGCCAUAAAAAUUCAGAAGAAGAAGAGAUGUCAAAACGAGAUGUUGUUGGCAAGAUGGCGGCUUGCGUGGAGAGGCAACGGGACAGACGAGACACACGUGUGUUUAUCUGCUGCAGAGAGACUGAUCAAGGAAUGCUGCCAUCAAAGCCUCUCAAUCUUUUGUGGUGGAGCAGGACUUGCAAGGAAAGGUGACAUUUGUGAAAAAAGGGAAACCCUGAAACAAAAGGAUAACCACAGCAGCAUCCUGGAAAUGGUCCAGUGACACAGAUGAGACGCUCCAUCACUCCACCUCUUACUGCCUCAUCUGGACCGGAUGUUGCUGUGGUCUCUUCAUUCUCAGUGACCCCAGAGCCAGCGAGAGCAUCUAGAGAAAGAAAGACCUGAAGCGUCUACAAUCCCCCGAUCAACCUGGAGGAAAGAGCCUUGCUCAAGGGCAUACUGAUGGUUUAGAACCCGCGACCUUCUGCUCACCAGUUCAGUGGUUUAGCCCACAACAAAAGUAGUCGUGCUCAUGGAGAGCAGACACACGAUUGAAUGAAGCUUUGUUUCAUCUGUUGUUGACUUGUAUAUGUAUGUAUUUAUUGUGAUGCUUUUAUUCAUUCCUUUACUUAUUUAUUCAUGUUUCUUAUUGUUGUCAGUAAACAAAAUAUAAAUAUUUUAUUUAUGUAUUAAUUGCUUGACUGAAAAUUCAUGUAUUCACAUCGACUGCAUUUGUUCAACUAGUGUAUAUUCAUGUAUAGCUAUGUCACGACAAAAAAAAUACAUUUAGCUUGUUUAACUAAAAUGUAAUUUUAAGGGAAAAAAAGUAAUAAUUAUUGGUUGGCAUUUAUCAUUAUUAUUGCAUGUAAGUGUUGGGGUGAGCAAACGAUGCAAUUCAUUCUGGGGUAAUCUUAAUUUUGAAGUAGUAAUAUUUACAUUUUUAGAGUAUAAAAUCUUCUCCAAAGUCAAGAUCUUCUAGCAGCUGAUCGACGUUUCCUUUGUGAUUUUACACAACCGUUCCAUAAAUAAGGAGUUAAUAUGAUGUUAUAUUUUAAAAUAUAACACAAUUCUAUGUAAGUUAUAUUACUGGGUUUUAUAUAUUAUAUACUAUAUCAUUGUGUAAUUAUAUUAUUGUGUUAUAUACAGUAUAACACAAUAUUGUCUGUUUUUGCUCUGUUUUGCCAAUAAAAAUAUUACCUAUACACUAAAGCCACAGCAGAAUUGUUGCGCAUCUCAUAGAGACACAGCUGUGUUUAGUUUUUGAAUGAAUCCGCGUUUUGAACGAAUCUGGUGAACCAAUGAUUCAAAAGCCCAUUCAUAAAGUGAGCCGUUUGAACUAAUCGAAUAAAUGAUUCAUAAGGACAUUUACCGCCACCUGCUGGCAGUUUUAGUGUCUUAUUUAGAGUAUUAUUUCACAAAAAUAAAAAAAGGGGGGGGGGGGGAAACACUUUAAAGGUAUUGUUCAUCCCAAAAAUAUUAAUUAUGUCAUCAUUUACUCAAACCUGAAUGACACUUUCUUUUGUGGAACAUAAAAGAAGGUAUUUUGAAGAUUUGGUUACCAACGACUUCCAUUGCAUAAAUGAAAAAACUGAGAUGUUUCUCAAAUUAUCUUCUUUUAUGUUGAAUAGUUUAUGUAAAGCCGUUGUAGCCUAAACGUGUAAUAAAAUUUAUGUUAAAUGAAAUAAUUUCUUUUUUGGGGGGUAUUUUCACAACCAAAUGUAGUUUGUGAUUAAUUAGAUCAAUUAAUCGACACAGUGUAAUUCAUAAGAUGAAAAAUAUGUAUCAACUGACAGUCCUAAUAUAUUUAUUUAUUUAUUUAUUUAUUUUUUUUUAAUGUAUUAAAUAGUUGUUUUUUUUCAGUAUGCUCUGUACAUGGUCCUUGAGAUGCCCUUUGAUUUCUCAGCUGUAAGUUGUUGUUUAAAAAGAUAAUUGGGACUUAAUUCAAUUUGAUGAUAUAUUAAUAUUUGCUUUUCCUUAUUUGUCAGUUUGAUUUUCGUCUAAUACUAAAAUGGUGGUGCCUCAUUCUCUUGAAAUAUUUUGCACUUGAAAGGUAUCUUUUUCUCACUUACGUUUUUCUCUGUCCAGACUACGAAUUACCAUAAUUAUUUUCACAGGAAACAUGUCCUCACUGUGUGCAAGUACCAGAAGUGUGCAGGAGACUGGAAUCUGCAACAGGGAGCCAAGGAUAACAAAAGACCUCCACACUGCAGUUGGAUGGCUGCAGAAAAACCUCUGUGUCUUCAGAGAUUUGGUGAGAGAGCUGAGGUUCCUCCAACUGAAAGAGGAAGACCAGAAGAGAGCUCUUCUUCAGCUUUCACAGGCCUAAAUGGCUGACGAACAGCAACUGGCCAAAGAACCUUUUGUUUUCCAAUUCCAAUAUAAGGAUAAUAUAGACAGUUUUCUCGAUGAGUGCAUGGACAAAAGGGGCCUAAAAUAAAUUGCAUGUUUCUCGAGUUCUGAUUUAUUUUAUUUUUCUUUUAUCAGUUUUGAUAAUUAUUGUUAAAUGUGUGCCUGCUUUGCUUUAACAUUUGUUUGUUUUUUUAUUUAUCUUUUGCUACUUAUGUAUGAUAAUGUGUAUUUUGUAAUUGUAAAAUAAUAAUAAUAAUAAUAAUAAUAAUAAAAUUAAAAUAUUCAAAUCAUCAAGCUUUCUUUUGUCUAUCUACCUCAUCUAUCUAUCUAUCAUCUGAUUAAAUCCUUAAAAUAAAAUGCUGACUUGACAUCAACGUAGAUUAACACUUUUAAAAAAAAAUUCUCUCCUUGUUCUUGAUUUUACUUUUAUUUUUCAGUGUGUCAUUGCGGUUUUCAGAUAUUAUGUUGUAAAGCACAUUGGUCAACUGGUUGUAGUAAAUACUGCUAUAUAAAUACAAUUGCCAUUUCCAUCCAAAGCACUACGAGGCGCUAUGCCUAGCAAGAUAACUUUUGCUCGUGGCGCUGAGACUGCAGUCAGAGCC
ensembl:lncRNA